rnacentral:rRNA from 1 species
CGCAACCCACGUCCUUAGUGCCAGCAUUCAGUUGGGCACUCUAGGGAGACCGCCGGUGAUAAGCCGGAGGAAGGUGUGGAUGACGUCAAGUCCUCAUGGCCCUUACGAGGUGGGCUACACACGUGCUACAAUGGCGGCGACAGUGGGUUAAUCCCAAAAAGCCGUCUCAGUUCCGGAUUGGGGUCUGCAACUCGACUCCAUGAAGUUGGAAUCGCUAGUAAUCGCGGAUCAGCAUGCCGCGGUGAAUACGUUCCCGGGCCUU